CUUAGGUCAGCGGCGGACGGGUGAGUAACACGUGGGUAACCUGCCUGUAAGACUGGGAUAACUCCGGGAAACCGGGGCUAAUACCGGAUGCUUGAUUGAACCGCAUGGUUCAAUCAUAAAAGGUGGCUUUUAGCUACCACUUGCAGAUGGACCCGCGGCGCAUUAGCUAGUUGGUGAGGUAACGGCUCACCAAGGCGACGAUGCGUAGCCGACCUGAGAGGGUGAUCGGCCACACUGGGACUGAGACACGGCCCAGACUCCUACGGGAGGCAGCAGUAGGGAAUCUUCCGCAAUGGACGAAAGUCUGACGGAGCAACGCCGCGUGAGUGAUGAAGGUUUUCGGAUCGUAAAACUCUGUUGUUAGGGAAGAACAAGUACCGUUCGAAUAGGGCGGUACCUUGACGGUACCUAACCAGAAAGCCACGGCUAACUACGUGCCAGCAGCCGCGGUAAUACGUAGGUGGCAAGCGUUGUCCGGAAUUAUUGGGCGUGAAGCGCGCGCAGGCGGUUUCUUAAGUCUGAUGUGAAAGCCCCCGGCUCAACCCGGGGAGGGUCAUUGGAAACUGGGGAACUUGAGUGCAGAAGAGGAGAGUGGAAUUCCACGUGUAGCGGUGAAAUGCGUAGAGAUGUGGAGGAACAC
rnacentral:rRNA from 1 species